CGUUAGGUGACCUGCGGAAGGAUCAUUA
rnacentral:rRNA from 1 species